GUGUUCCCCUUCCCGCUGAGCUCUGGUUCCGGUGGGGAGAUCUGGAGGUGUCCCAGUCCGAGCUCCGUGCCGAGGAGCAGGUGACACAGGACCGCGUCCAGGCGGGCUGGGAAUGUUUCCAGAGAGAGAACUCCACGACAAAAUCACAGAGUAUGCCAGCUUGGAAGGGAUCCAUCAGGAUCAUCGAGUCCAGCUCCUGAUUCUGCGCAGGACACCCCACCAAUCCCACCAGGUGCCUGGGAGCUUUGUCCGAGCACUCCUUGAGCUCGGUUGGUACCUUCCAGCUCAGGAGAUUCUGCUCUUCAAGUUGAGACUGAGCAGGCCCCGCUCCCAGUCUGCCCUCCUGAGAUAGAAUGAUGCAGACCCUUCAUCAUCUUCGGCCUCUGCUGGACCCUCCAGUAUCCUUGUCCUUGACCUGUGGAGCCCAGAACUGAGCGCAGCACUCCAGAUGUGGCCUCACUGGGGACAAGCAGAGGACCACCUGCCUGGACCUGCUGGCCACUCUCUUCCCCAUGCAAAACCUUCCUCUUAAACCUUUCUCUCCCCCACAAACCCAACCUUCCCCUAAAAACCUCCACUCUUCCUUCCCCAAACCUUUUUCCCCCCCUGCAUUUGCCCAUGGCUAUCUGACUGACUGCUGUGGCCAAGUGCAGCAUCCACUGUGGGAACAGUCAAGCCUGGAAUUGGAAGAUCUUUUUAUUUACAAAUGAAAUGUACACGUUAAGAGACAGCAUAGAGACAAAUCCCUAAAUACAAUGAGUUCAGACCACAUUCUGUCAUGAUCCAUUGGUGGGAAAGGCUGUAUUUUGUGCAAAAAUAAGUUCCAAAGUUAACAACACCACGUGAGUUGUGACAGGUGAUGGAGAAAUGUGAGCAAGACAGGGACAGCCCAAAACUGACCACAGACAAACUAAGGGCAAGUAAGCAAAAACUGUUUCCAAACAGUCAAGUUUUACUGUCCCAUUCUCCUAAGGAACCUAAAGGAACAAUGACUUGAGUUACUGAGACAUUCCAUGUGCCACCUGCAUCACAGCUCAGUAUUCCACAGGGGUAUAUUCCUUCCUUCACCAUCAACAACAGCCAGACAACACACCCGGGGCAAACACCCCAAUGACAACUGCCCAGAC